CAUCUGGCAAUGUGAACAAGCGCUCUGGGCAAUAUUGGCGGAGAUUUUGAGGCUUGCCAUUUACAGCAUCAUACAUGUAAUGUGUAGCUGAAGGGAGUUUACAGAUACUGAAGCAAUCUGCUUUCAGGCCGGUGCGUCCUGACGGCUGCCAGAGGCCCUGCGUUCUUUUUAAAAACCAUAUCGCCCAUGAAGAACUGGAAACUCAUUUCCCGAUGAUCUCCCGGAAGCGGCGGCGACAAAAGCAGAUGCGGCAAUUGUCCGACUCUGUAAGGGCCGUGAUGGAGUCAUUGUUCACGGAUCAGGUUACGUAAGGGAAGUCUUUCA
ensembl:lncRNA